rnacentral:rRNA from 1 species
GACGAACGCUGGCGGCGCGCUUAACACAUGCAAGUCGAACGGAAAGGCCUGCUUUCCCUUGUGGAUUGCGGGUACUCGAGUGGCGAACGGGUGAGUAACACGUGAGUGAUCUGCCCCCAACUUGGGUAUAAGCCUGGGAAACUGGGUCUAAUUCCCGAUAGGACUGCAGGGUGGUGCCUGUGGUGGAAAACGAUUUUCUAGUGGUUGGGGAUGAGCUCGCGGCCUAUCAGCUUGUUGGUGGGGUAAUGGCCUACCAAGGCGGCGACGGGUAGCCGGCCUGGGAGGGUGGACGGCCACAUUGGGACUGAGAUACGGCCCAGACUCCUACGGGAGGCAGCAGUGGGGAAUAUUGCACAAUGGGCGGAAGCCUGACGCAGCGACGCCGCGUGGGGGAUGACGGCCUUCGGGUUGUAAACUCCUUUCGACCGCGAGGAAGCCACCUGGUUGGAAGGGUGGUGACGGUAGUGGUAGAAGAAGCACCGGCUAACUACGUG